GUUCUGAGCAAUAUCCAGAAACAAGAUUAGUGCCUGAGGAGGAACAUUGUGAAAUCAGUAAGAAAGCAACCUUGCUGAUCCAAAGGAGCAAAAUAGUUCUUUGGUUGGGCAUGUGGGAUCUUAGCUCCCCGACCAGGGAUCGAACCUGCACUCCCUGCAUUGGAAGGCGAAGUGUUAACCACUGGACCACCAAGGAAAUCCCAACAAAUAUUUAUUGCUUAUGUUCUUUGCACAGUUUGAAGCACUGGGGACCAAAGAAAGUGUAAGAUUGAGAUUAAUUUGUGAGGGGCCUAUUGAUAGCUCUGGUACCAAAGUUUCGACCGCAGUGAGAGACCCAAGGAUGUCAAGGAAAAAACUCAAAGCAGCCAUAUUCAGUUAUGGAAGACAGAGACGAAGAGGUUUGACACAGGGGACACUCUCUGAAAGUGAAUGUUUAGGUAACUGCCCGUCUGGCCCUUGCAUUUUGUCUUCUAAACUCCUGUGUUUAGUGGUUGGGUGUAGUUCCAAGGGUUGUUCUGUCUUUCUAAAGCCUUUAGAGAAUUUCCUGGCCUGCCUUGUUGGAGUCAAACAGUGGUUUA